rnacentral:misc_RNA from 1 species
CCAAACUUGGUCAUUUAGAGGAAGUAAAAGUCGUAACAAGGUCUCCGUAGGUGAACCUGCGGAGGGAUCAUCAAAGGAUUUUAUUAUUUCCAAGGUGCUUUCUUUUCUUCUUUCUUGAGAGGGGAGGAAAGUGCUUUGCAAACAAACGAUCACAACUAUUGAAAAAAAUUGGGAAUGGCUUGGGUUUCCUUGACUUGGAAAGAAACAGAAAAAGUGUUUGCCUGAUAUCUGAGUUGACUUGGAAAAACAAGAGAAAAUUAUACAACUUUCAACAACGGAUCUCUUGGCUCUCACAUCGAUGAAGAACGCAGC